UACGUAGGCAGCGAGCGUUGUUCGGAGUUACUGGGCGUAAAGAGUGCGUAGGCGGUUUUCUAAGUUUGGUGUGAAAUCUCCCGGCUUAACUGGGAGGGUGCGCCGAAGACUGGAAGGCUUGAGUAUGGGAGAGGUAAGCGGAAUUCCUGGUGUAGCGGUGAAAUGCGUAGAUAUGUGGAGGAACACCAGUGGCGAAAGCGGCUCUCUGGUCUGUUACUGACGCUGAGGUGCGAAAGCGUGGGGAGCAACAGG
rnacentral:rRNA from 1 species